rnacentral:pre_miRNA from 1 species
AACGGUGAUCUAGCCCUUUCGUUUUGAGGUUGGUGUAUUAUGUGUGAGUAUACAUAUUUAUCACACACAGUCACUGUCUUAAAAAGUGAAGGUGCAUAUA